GAGAGAGAGAGUGGGGGAUCGGUCGACCCCAUCAAAAGAACGAUGACAACGACCGGAGGAAGCACUGAGCACUCCCGUUUCGCCCGAUCACCUCUGUUGCCACCAUAACGACGGCAAGUUGUGGCGCUGCUGCGGUUGGAAGCUAUAAGACAAAACCUACUGCGAAAAACACUUCUUCCACGACUUGAUCAUCGAUUAAUUGGUAUCUCUCUCAGCUUCUCGAUGAUGGGUUUCAUAUGCUUUUGUUUGAUUUUCUGUUUUGUUUGUUGAUCUGAUACCGACUGAUCUGAACAAGAGAACUUAGACCUAAUCCGGCAGGCGGUGAGACAGAAUGGGUUGGGAGAGCCAACUCAGCCAUGAGGCUUGAUGGUGGACCGUAGUUCCUGUUUCCCUUGUUACAGGAAGUGCUGAAUUUCCUUUUAUUUGGGGGGAUGCAAAGGUGCAAAUUUAUUUAUUUUUCCUUGAUUGAUGAUGGUCAUGUGGACAGAGGAAUCAGCAUAUAUCAGCGGAAAUUUGUUGGGACGUUAGGGUUUUCGUUCACGAUUUGAGGAAUUAGGGUUUGUGCUUUCAAUUGAAAUCAGGGUUCCUAUUUGAUAAUGUUGCCGAAAUGUAGUUCUCUUCUGAAUUUUUUCCCCCUAUGGUCAUAGUUUUGUUUUGAUUCGAUAUGCUGUUCUCAAUGGGAUACAAUUUGUGAGGGACGAAUAUUUUGUGGUGCACUCGAAUGGAAAAAUAAAGAAUCAACAAUAGUCUUUGGUGUUCGUUUAAUCGUUGUUGAAUUUUUUGGCCUACAGAUUGUUUGAUCACUGUAUCAACUAAUUUAACUUGGGAGUUAGGAACUUAGGACUGUUGCGAAUGUGACCUACUGUAUAGGCUAAUGUAAUUUCUAUUGAAAGCUAUUUCUUCAAUUUAUGAUUAUGAGGGUAGUUUAUGUUAGUUUCUUUGUGUUACUAACAGUUGAUAGAGAGAAUUUAGACGUGAUUUUGACUGUGUCGACAGCGCCGUUCAUCUUUUCAUGUAUAGAGCUUUAAGCACUGAAUGCUGGAUGAGUAAAAUUAAUGGUUUUUAUCAUACAAAUUUCAGUUUCAUUUUUACAACUAUUAGCUAACGUAUGUUACUGGUUUGUAGGUUUAUCUGUCUUUAUGUUGUGCUCUUAUCACUUUGGCUGUUGGAGCUUAUCUUCACAUCCUCUGGAAUAUUGGAGGUUUCCUCACGACCACAGAUUCUAUGGGAAGCUUGGUUUGGCUACUCUUGACCCCUCCAUACGAAGAGGCAGUCAUUGUUGCAUUUUUCCUUUUUUGUUUUCCUUUAGUUUUUUUUUGGAUCCAUCUUUUGAUCAAUUGAAGUUGCUUUCCUGCCAUUUCCAUUUUUCAUUUUUUGUUUUUCCUGUUUGUUGGUUAAAAAUAGAUACACUUAUGCGAUUGUUUAGCGGUGAUGAUAUUAUACAUCUCUUUGUUCAUGUCUGGCAGUUAAAAAUAUUCUGAUGGCGGUUAAAAAUAUUCUGAUGGUUCCUGGAUCAUCGCCGAGUACACUGACUUCAUGGCGAAUCUGACCAACAUCAAUGGAAGUCAAAUGGAUGAGGUUCAAAUGACCUUAAUUCGGGUUUCUUUUCAUUUCGGAUUAACAAGUAAAGUUUUGGGCAAUCGAAGUUGCUGAUAGAGGAUCAUGGCAAAAAAAAUGCCAAUCAGUUCCCAGAAGAAGGAUUAUAACGAGAGCCCUUUGGACUACAAUGGCAAGUCUUUUGCCCGUGUAGUGGCAACCUCAACUUGCAGCUGGUCACUAAUGCCUUGUUAUCGCUGAAGAUUAUGUUUAAGGAGUAGUAUUUCUUCACAAGACCAGCUGGUAAUGUUUGUCUCCAAUUCCUUGGCGCAUCCAGCCUUAUUUGAGGCAAAUAGACCAGGCCCAUUGAGUGUGGUAAUGUUCGGUAAGGUCUAAUUUUGAUGUUAUAAUUUGCUGGAAACUUGGGACUAUUGAGAUCAAGGAUGUGUGUUAGGGUUGGUAGGAAUGUGUAUCAGGUAAAUCGACUCUGAUGAUGAGGACCAAUUUCUGCGUCUUCGAUACUUGUUUUUUAAGGUAGAGAUAGAGAGGAGAGUUAAAGCUUUUUAUAGUUUAU